GACUGUGUGUAUGAACAAAUAUGGCGCCUAAGUGAUUAUAAAACAUCGCUUGAAAAUAGAUUGCACCAUCUGAAAAAAAUGAUAACAGAGAUCGAGGAUCAGAAGACACGAGAUCUUAGUAACCAAAAACAUACCAUGCAAAUUCUGUCGACGUUGAACACUGAGGACUUGAGGUUGAUACAAUUGUGUGACGAAAAGCUAAAGAUGUACAAUAAUAUCGAUCGACAAGGUAUUCCACAUAGAGGAUCUCUUAGUCAAUUUCGAGGAAGUCUUGAAC